rnacentral:ncRNA from 1 species
AGUGAGGAUUGACAGAUUGAGAGCUCUUUCUUGAUUCUGUGGGUGGUGGUGCAUGGCCGUUCUUAGUUGGUGGAGCGAUUUGUCUGGUUAAUUCCGAUAACGAACGAGACUCUGGCUUGCUAAAUAGUUACGCGACCAUCCCGGUCGGCGUUUAACUUCUUAGAGGGACAAGUGGCGUUUAGCCACACGACGAUUAGCAAUAACAGGUCUGUGAUGCCCUUAGAUGUUCGGGGCCGCACGCGCGCUACACUGACCGGAUCAGCGUGUGCUCUCCUUGGCCGACAGGUCCGGGAAACCCGUUGAACCCCGGUCGUGCUAGGGAUAGGGAAUUGCAAUUAUUUCCCUUGAACGAGGAAUUCCCAGUAAGCGCGAGUCAUUAGCUCGCGUUGAUUACGUCCCUGCCCUUUGUACACACCGCCCGUCGCUACUACCGAUUGAAUGGUUUAGUGAGGUCCUCCGAUUGGACCCGGUCCGGGCGGCGACGUCCGAGCCGGCGUCCGAGAAGACGAUCUAACUUGAUCAUUUAGAGGAAGUAAAAGUCGUAACAAGGUUUCCGUAGGUGAACCUGCGGAAGGAUCAUUA